UACGUAGGGAGCAAGCGUUGUUCGGAUUUACUGGGCGUAAAGGGCGCGUAGGCGGCGCGGUAAGUCACUUGUGAAAUCUCUGAGCUUAACUCAGAACGGCCAAGUGAUACUGCAGUGCUAGAGUGCAGAAGGGGCAAUCGGAAUUCUUGGUGUAGCGGUGAAAUGCGUAGAUAUCAAGAGGAACACCUGAGGUGAAGACGGGUUGCUGGGCCGACACUGACGCUGAGUGCGCGAAAGCCAGGGGAGCAAACGGG
rnacentral:rRNA from 1 species